rnacentral:rRNA from 1 species
GCGCUAUGCAUGCAGUCGAACGGUCCUACCGGGUUCGCCCGGGAAGGAUAGUGGCAGACGGCUGAGUAACACGUAAGUGACCUGCCCCGAAGCGGGGGAUAAUCUCGAGAAAUCGGGUCUAAUACCCCGUAAUACUCGCCCGACACGUCGAGCGAAGGAAAGGCUCAUACCGAUUCGUCGGUGUGCGCCGCUUUGGGAGGGGCUUGCGACUUAUCAGGUAGUUGGUGGGGUAAUGGCCUACCAAGCCGAAGACGGGUAACCGGUGUGAGAGCAUGAUCGGUCAGAGGGGGACUGAGACACGGCCCCCACUCCUACGGGAGGCAGCAGCAGGGAAUCUUGCGCAAUGGGCGAAAGCCUGACGCAGCGACACCGCGUGGGGGAAGAAGGCUUUAGGGUUGUAAACCCCUUUUCUUGGGGAAGAGGAAGGACGGUACCCGAGGAAUAAGGUUCGGCUAACUACGUGCCAGCAGCCGCGGUAAUACGUAGGAACCGAGCGUUGUCCGAAUUUACUGGGCGUAAAGGGCGAGUAGGCGGCUUGCCAAGUCUCAUGUGAAAUCUCCCGGCUCAACUGGGAGGGGUCAUGGGAAACUGGCAGGCUAGAGGGCAGCAGAGGAAAGUGGAAUUCCCGGAGUAGUGGUGGAAUGCGUAGAUACCGGGAGGAACACCAGUGGCGAAGGCGGCUUUCUGGGCUGUACCUGACGCUGAGGCGCGAAAGCGUGGGGAGCAAACCGGAUUAGAUACCCGGGUAGUCCACGCCCUAAACGAUGGAUACUAGAUGUGGGGGGUAUCGACCCCCUCCGUGCCGAAGCUAACGCGAUAAGUAUCCCGCCUGGGGAGUACGGCCGCAAGGCUAAAACUCAAAGGAAUUGACGGGGACCCGCACAAGCAGCGGAGCGUGUGUUUAAUUCGAUGAUAGCGAGACCUUACCAGGCUUGACAUGCUUUCGAAGCCCACGA